UGGGGAAUAUUGCACAAUGGGCGAAAGCCUGAUGCAGCGACGCCGCGUGAGGGAUGACGGCCUUCGGGUUGUAAACCUCUUCAGCAGGGACGAAGCGAGAGUGACGGUACCUGCAGAAGAAGCGCCGGCCAACUACGUGCCAGCAGCCGCGGUAAUACGUAGGAUGCAAGCGUUGUCCGGAAUUAUUGGGCGUAAAGGGUGCGCAGGCGGUUUUUCAAGUCAGAUGUGAAAUAUCCCGGCUUAACUGGGAGGGGCCAUUUGAAACUGAAAGACUAGAGUGCAGGAGAGGAUAGCGGAAUUCCCGGUGUAGUGGUGAAAUGCGUAGAUAUCGGGAGGAACACCAGUGGCGAAGGCGGCUAUCUGGCCUGCAACUGACGCUGAGGCACGAAGGCUAGGGGAGCGAACAGGAUUAGAUACCC
rnacentral:rRNA from 1 species